ensembl:lncRNA
GGAGAGUACAAAUUGCUGAAAAUAGCAUGUGCCAAGGGCUACUUUGCGAUAUUAGUUUAUGAAUUUUGCCAGCUCAGUAAUGCUUUAGCAGCAGCAAACCACUUGGAGGUUUUCCUUGUUUAUUCCAUUCAAAGAGAUAUAGCAUCUUAGCAUACAAAGCACUAUCGAAGAGCAGUUGGGUCUGCUUAGAUUUAGAAGUAAGCUGAGAGAGCAGUUUAUAUUGGCUUUUGAUUUCUCUGUGUGAGAGGAGUGCAGUGAUUACUUCCAGCCACUUUGAAAGUCAUAUUCUCAAAACCAGAGACAUACAAGUGAGAGAGAAACAGAGGUGCAUUUAAGAAAGAACAAGGGCAAGACAGAGUCUGUGAUUCGUUUCUGGGAGCCGGUGACCCACUUGCAGUUUACUUCAAGAUCAGAAAUAAAGCCUGUUAAACUCACCCCCGAGCCAAUGUGGAUGUGCGUUAGUAAAGGGAAUAUUCCAGGUGUAGCUUCAGCCUCCGAGAAGGCAAUGGCACCCCACUCCAGUACUCUUGCCUGGAGAAUCCCAUGGAUGGAGGAACCUGGUAGGCUGCAGUCCAUGGGGUCGCUAGGAGUCGGACACGACUGAGCAACUUCACUUUCACUUUUCACUUUCGUGCAUUGGAGAAGGAAAUGGCAACCCACUCCAGUGUUCUUGCCUGGAGAAUCCCAGGGACAGGGGAGCCUGGUGGGCUGCUGCCCAUGGGGUCGCACAGAGUCGGACACGACUGAAGCAACUUAGCAGCAGCAGCAGCAGCAGCAGCAGCUUCAACCUGGGUGUUGGUUUCUCCCCAAUCUGAUUGUAUUCACAUCAAGUCAUGCAAAGCUCCAGGCUUCUCUCUUGAUUCAAAAGGAAAGCGUCCUGUACUGGAAACUAGCACCACACCCCAUAUGCUUUUCCAUAUGAUUCUUAACCACCAGAGAAGUCCUGGCAAAUGAGUUAUUGAGUGAAGGAAUGCAGAGAAACAUCUGAAAGAACAAGGGAAGAAGAACAGGGCAAGGCGAAAGAUUAGACAAAGAGUGGAGCCACCACCUGACCCCACGAGGAUCUCUAGAGCAUUGGUUGUAUCACAAGUUUUCCCAGCACCAGGAAAGGAGGCUGGGCACUGGACUCACACAUCACUCAGGCAUCAGUGCUAAUUACGAGCGGACAUAGAACGCUUCCUCUGACAAAGACACGGGAGCCUGGCACCAAGGUUUCUCCCACAUCCCUGUGUGUUCACCACGUCUG